ACAAAGAAGGAUUAUCCUUAUAUCGAACACACAAUUCUCCAUCGUACUGAGUAAAAAUUUAUUUUAAUGUAAUUGAAAUCAAUUUCAAUAAUUUAAAAUUGAACACAAAAGAGUAAAGAACUGCAGUGUUACUAGCAGAGAAACCAUUGCAGACUGCAGCGCAACUCUGCAUAGCGCAAUGUUAAAUCUCUACGGAGGCUCUGUGUAAUGGGCAGCCACCACGGGAGGCGUUUAACCCAUCGUACGGUGUUUAUCAAGUGGCUUAUGUCUUUUGCGAUACGGACCCAUUGAAAUAAACCUUGCACACCAUCUUUCUCAUUGCUACUUUGUCACAGUUCCAGUAACAUAAGAGCAGCAGGACGGACCGACAGUGGAACAGCGGGGCCGGAUGCGAUGGCAAAGUCACGGUGGACCAUUCCCGAACCUCCGGUGGUUGCAGGAUUCCCGUGCAUACUUGCAACAAAAUCGUGUGAAACAUCAACAGGUCCGCUGUAUGAUAUUACACAAGGAAUGAAAUGGAUGGAGUUGGACAUAUCCGGUUUAGAGGGGAAUGAGCCUUCAGCAACGAACAAAAGCAGAUUUCCGGAGUUUCGUGCACUCGAAGGGAUUUCAGCUUUUCCAAUCCUAAAGCAGAACAGAGUGUCGAUUCAAACAUCCCUGACACUCGGGAAAUGCCAGCCUUAACUUUACCGCAAUAAUAACAAUUCCAGGUUUAACUUUGCCGUAGUAACUUUACUUUGGUUUACCAUAAUGCUCCACGAUAAGCGCGUUAGGAUUCCGGCCCCGAUCAUCCACGCGAUUUUUGCCAAUACGGAGAAUGUUUUCGACGCUAUUAAGAGCCACCUGUACGAUCCUAGUAGCAUCUGUGAUGCCCAAAAGAUCACACAUUGGCGGAAUGCAUCCCGCUUGUACGAACACUCUAUGAACAGUAAUUGAAGGUUCAUCAAAUGUACCAAAAUGAAUAUUUAUUAUGUAUCCCGCAAAAUUUCUGUUAUCAGUAACUAAAUGCAAAGCUUCAGCAUACUGAAUCUGUUCCUCAGAGCCACCAGAAAGCGCGUUCGAUAUAGCCCAAGCCGCUUCUUUUCGCGUCUUAAAUUCAGCAUUACCCAGGAUCUCUAUGAGAACUGGAACAAGUCCUGCGUCUAUUACAAGCUGCAAAAAAAGCCCAACUUUAGGCUAAAGAAUGCACUGAUACGUAAACGAUUCUAACCUGAAUGUGACUGCGGCUUCCUGCAUUGAUAUUUGACAACGCCCAGCAAGCUUCCUUACGAACGCUUUUCUUUUACGUCCUGACGAACAAGUAGCCGCUUCAACAGCUGCAAUACGCCACUAUUCAAAACCAUUUGCGUCAGGGAGACAUUUCCUGUUACGAUGUUCCCAACGGCGCGCAAAGCAGAGGAAACCACGUUUUGAACAUCAUGACUAAAAAAUCAACAGCACGUAAAGAAGUAUGAGCCAACUAUACAUGCAAUGCACAGUUACCCUAGAAGGGUGACCAACCGCGGACAGACACUCGCAUUAACAACAGCCUGAAUCUUGUCGUCUGGACCAUCACACAGGUAAGAAAUCGCCCAACAUGCAUCGGUCAGCACAUCUGCAUCUGAAUGGAACAAAAGCCGGGCUAAAAUUGGCAAAGCUUGUUUCACCUAAUGUCCAAACAUGGUAGUUACAAUAUGCCAAAUAAAGCAGCGACCGACAACAAAAUAAAAUACGACCUUGGCAAAAUCUGG